CAAUCUUUGGCUUGUGCGAUAUAUUGACUUUAAUAAUAUCAUUACACUAUUUCAACGAAUUCUAUAUUUAGCUGUGGAAUACUUAUCAGUUCGUUAUCAAUGUUAAUUUGCACCUUCACUACACGGAGAAAUAAAUCUGUAUUGUAGAAGAUCUGUUUUUUUUUUACUUUUAUAAUAAUUUGUUAAUAAAAUAAUGAGUUCAAAAUUAUUUUUUAUCUUUAAACUAAAAAAUCCUGAAACAGCGGUGACUUCUAAUCAAAUAAUUAAAAGUCAUAUUACAUAAAUUAUUCUAUUGUUGGACUUAUUACGUAUAGUCUUUUCACUUUUUAUAUUUUAAAAUUUUCUUUUAGACACCCAGCUUGAAUAUUGCUAAUAGUAACAUAACAAAUAAAUUGGUUAUCGUCACUAAAGAUAAAUAAAAUAAACCUACAUAUGAAAUUACUUCUACAGGCAACUUGAAAUUUGAUUUAGGUGAUCUACAGUCUGGUCCAAAAAAAUCCAUAUUAGAGGUAAAUCAUGUAUAAAACUAACAACAUAAUAUUUACAUUGUAUGUUAAAUAUAUAUUUUAAUUACUAUUAAGCCUAUUAUAGGAACGGUGUACUUAUAUGAAUGUUCGGCAUUGGUUAUUCGUCAUCUUCCCGGCGGUUGUCAGUAUUUGUUACACGAAUCAAAAGGAUAUAAAUAUUUGGAUUUUGUUAGUUACAUAUGUAUCUCUAUACGCCUGUUAUGAAAUAAAUUUUGGGUCCAUUCUUUAUAUAUUAUACAGGGGUGUCAAAUUUAUUUGUUUAAAUGGCAGCAUACAUAUUAAACUAGUUUAUAAUAUAGAAUAUUAUCCAAUUAAGAAAAUAACUAUAGACAAUAACUUUUGGAUCAAUACUUUAAAAGUUAUUAGAAUUUUAAAAUAUAGUACUGAUGGUGAAGCAUAGUUACUGCUAUUUUUAUCAUUAGUCAUUAUUUGGUCACACUUCUUCUGCCACCUAAGUACAAAAAUUAGAAUAUCUUCCAAAGCACUAGUCUAAAAGUUCUUGUUUUAAAUUACAAAUACCAUUUCCAUUAACAUAACCAUGGCUUCAUUUUAUGAGUUAUGUGGGUCUAGAGUUCUUGCAAAUAGAAAACUAACAAAUCUGGAUGAUCAUGUUAUUAUUAUAUUACAAAAACUCAUUUAACUCUUAUUGCAAAAUAGACAAGACAUUAUAACGUAACUGUCAAAAAAACUGACACUAUUCAUACCCAGCUAAUAAGUCAAUCUAAACUAGAAUUUGCCGCAAAUAGGUAAUGUAUGAAAAGUCUAAUUGAUAUGACAAUUUUUUGAAUAUCUAAAGACUGACUUGACACAAUGAAAACAGAUCAUCAUUAAAUCAAGGGAAUUUCAACAAAACCUAUGUUUUAUUUUCCAAGAAUAUACCCAUAUUUUCUGAAAUAUUUAACAAAGAAACAAAUUACACUAGUCACCAUAUUCAAAAUGAAAUAAUUGAACCAUGUGCAAAUAGCGUAUACGAGUAAAUAGUAUAAUGUGUGAUGAAGCAAGUUUUAGAUUUUAUAAAGAAGAACAAGUGUUUAAUAUUAUUUUGAAACUUAUAAAUUAAAUAUUAAAGCUCAAAUAAUUUCACAAUCCUAUAAUGUUUGGAAUUUCAGUGGAAAUAUCAUGUCUGGAAAUUUAAUGGAGUCAAUCAAGAAUAAGAAUUGGAAACCUUAAGUUUUUUUUACUUGAUUAAAUGUAUUUACGUUCAUUUUUCUCAUCCCCAAAGAAUUGUCAAUUAGUUGAAUUGCAUAAAAACUUGGACAUAAAAACAAAAACUAUGGGCGCAUUAGUAAUAAUAGAUGGAAUUGUAGAAACUGUGAAACCAUUAAACAAUGUUUCUAGAGUAUUCUUAUUGUACUUAAAAGAGAAAUAGAAAAUUAAACUGAUAAAGUUGUCAAUAAAGCAAAAGGUAUAAUUUAUAAAUCACUAUUGUUUUUUAUCCAAUUGAUGUAGAUUUCAUUGAUAGUUGUUUUGUUAGAAUUACUCUAAACAAUUCCAAAUGAGACAUUUAUUAUAGUUUAGUUCAUUAUGCACAACAUCUUGUGUAUGAUCUUGGCUGUGCUUAAAGCAGAGACUGACAAUCAAAGUUCCACUGUUUCUAGAUAAUAAAAUGUAAAACUAAAAUAAUAACUAUUCGCUAUUGAUACAUUUAUUAUUUGUUUUAUUAUUUAUUAUUCACAAUAUUAUUUAAAUUGAUUUUUGCAAACUGGGAUGAUACUCAAAUAAUAUAUUUUCAACAGUAAUAAAUAGUUUUUUUUUUAAUUAUUAUCUACUUAUUUAAAAUAAAAGACUGUCAUGAAUUUUUAAUUUAUUUGUUCUCUCCGCAUAAUGAAUAGAUAUAAAAAUACCUUUGUAUCUUUGAAAUUUUAUACUAGGAAAGAUUAGUGUAAUAAAAGUUGGCUGUGAGUGAAAUAAGUUACUGGGAAUCGUUUCUGUGGUAUCAAAAACAUACUUUCAACAAAAUUCAAUAGUUUAUAUUUUGUAUUUUUAUAAAUAUUUUCUUCAGUUUUAAAAAUAAAUAUUGUAAAUUUUAUUUUAUUAAUUUUUUUUCUGACACAUAAUAUUUAAAAUGUAAUGUUUCACAUUAACACCAAGUUCAGUCAAAGAUGGUUCUUGGCUAAACCAAUUAUGAAUGGAAUGGGUAUUAUCUUUGAUUUGCAACAAAAAUCAAACACCACCAAUGAGAAAAUCACAAAAAUAAUUUUGUUGGCAUCCUUGGGAUUAAACUCAGGAACCU